rnacentral:rRNA from 1 species
UACGUAGGGGGCAAGCGUUGUCCGGAUUUAUUGGGCGUAAAACGCUCGUAGGUGGCUACGUCAAGUCGGACGUGAAAUCUCCCGGCUUAACUGGGAGAGGUCGCUCGAUACUGGCGAGCUCGAGGCAGGUAGGGGGAAGCGGAAUUCCCGGUGUAGUGGUGGAAUGCGUAGAUAUCAAGCGGAACACCGGUGGCGAAGGCGGCCUUCUGGACAGUGACUGACGCUGAGACGCGAAAGCGUGGGGAGCAAACAGG